GAUGAACGCUGGCGGCGUGCCUAAUACAUGCAAGUCGAGCGAACAGACGAGGAGCUUGCUCCUCUGACGUUAGCGGCGGACGGGUGAGUAACACGUGGAUAACCUACCUAUAAGACUGGGAUAACUUCGGGAAACCGGAGCUAAUACCGGAUAAUAUAUUGAACCGCAUGGUUCAAUAGUGAAAGACGGUUUUGCUGUAACUUAUAGAUGGAUCCGCGCCGCAUUAGCUAGUUGGUAAGGUAACGGCUUACCAAGGCAACGAUGCGUAGCCGACCUGAGAGGGUGAUCGGCCACAGUGGAGCUGAGACACGGUCCAGACUCCUACGGGAGGCAGCAGUAGGGAAGCUUCCGCAAUGGGCGAAAGCCUGACGGAGCAACGCCGCGUGAGUGAUGAAGGUCUUCGGAUCGUAAAACUCUGUUAUUAGGGAAGAACAAAUGUGUAAGUAACUAUGCACGUCUUGACGGUACCUAAUCAGAAAGCCACGGCUAACUACGU
rnacentral:rRNA from 1 species